UCAACUUGAGAGUUUGAUCCUGGCUCAGAACGAACGCUGGCGGCAGGCUUAACACAUGCAAGUCGAGCGCCCCGCA
rnacentral:rRNA from 1 species